UGUGUAGGCGGUUGCGCAAGUCUGGUGUGAAAUCUUCACCGCUUAACGGGAAGAGGUCACUGGAAACUGCGUAACUCGAGUGUGGUAGAGGCAAGCGGAAUUCCUGGUGUAGCGGUGGAAUGUGUAGAUAUCAGGAAGAACACCUGUGGCGAAGGCGGCUUGCUGGGCCAUCACUGACGCUGAGACACGAAAGCGUGGGGAGCAAACGGGAUUAGAUACCCCGGUAGUCCACGCUGUAAACGGUGCGCACUAGGUGUGGGAGGUAUCGACCCCUCCUGUGCCGCAGUUAACACAUUAAGUGCGCCGCCUGGGGAGUACGGCCGCAAGGUUGAA
rnacentral:rRNA from 1 species